AACGAACGCUGGCGGCAUGCCUAAUACAUGCAAGUCGAACGAGACCUCCGGGUCUAGUGGCGCAUGGGUGCGUAACGCGUGGGAACCUGCCCUUAGGUUUGGAAUAACUCCCCGAAAGGGGUGCCAAUACCGGAUAAUGUCUUCGGACCAAAGAUUUAUCGCCUUUGGAUGGUCCCGCGUUGGAUUCGCUAGUUGGUAGGGUAAAAGCCUACCAAGGCGACGAUCCAUAGCUGGUCUGAGAGGAUGGUCAGCCACACUGGGACUAGGACACGGCCCAGACUCCUACGGGAGGCAGCAGUGGGGAAUAGUGGACAAUGGGCGAAAGCCUGAUCCAGCAAUGCCGCGUGAAUUAUGAAGGCCUUAGGGUUGUAAAGCUCUUUUAACCGGGAUGAUAAUGACAGUACCUAGAGAAUAAGCUCCGGCUAACUCCGUG
rnacentral:rRNA from 1 species